UGUGUCUGGCGCUGCGCUCUCUCUCUCUGGCCCUCCCGGACGGUGCCCAUUUUGACGUCCUUGUCAUCCAGUCAGAAAAGAAGCCGUUCACAAGCCCACAUAUUUUCCUCAGUGAGACAAAGGAGUAUUUAUGAUAUACUGAAACAGCUGAAGAAGUAUUCAGUUCAAAGUUCAGAGGGAGGAAACAGAGAAACAGGAGACAAGGGAGUGCACAAGAGAGACAGCACAAUUAGGUCACUGCACUGCCCAGGAAACAGAAGCACAUCUGAGAAGAUGUCUCCAUCCCUCCACCUGAGUGUUGUGUUGCAGAUGCAGCCAUAGCUGUGGAUCUCCCAGUGAUUCCUUCUUCAACUGGAACCCGAGCUAUGGAACAGAGAU